UGUUGCUACGUGCCAUUUGUCUCGCAGAACAAACACCGUUGUUGUAAGGCGGCGCCCGUCAUAAACAGUUUUUGUUGUUGUCGUUGUUGUUUUCGUUGUCAGCCAUUUUCGGUGGCCUCGUCGCCGCUUUGUUUGUUUUCAUUAUGUGGCGAUGAUAUGAGCAAACAAAGCCAUUGAUCGAAUCACGUCUGGAAGCUAAUGGCGAUGGGAUAAAAGGUGAGAUACACAAUUGUAUACUUAUAGUUUAAUAAGGAAGAAUCGACUACAGAAAUACAGAUGCAAUUAAAAUUUUAAUGCGGAAAUUGAGCAACAGAAAUUGCAAUCCCCCUGCAAUUUGUCAGGCGGAAGUGAAAUGCACAAACAUGACAGAAAUUAUAUUAGAAAUCAGAAAAGAGAUUAUUGAGAAAAAAAAUUUACUAUAUUGUAAGCAUACGAGUUCAGUAUGUAAAUAAACAAAUCAAAUUGUAACUAAUAUUGAUUACACAUGUGAAAAAUAAGUUGGGGUUUCUUUCAA